UACGGAGGAUGCGAGCGUUAUCCGGAUUUAUUGGGUGUAAAGGGUGCGUAGGCGGAUGAGUAAGUCAGUGGUGAAAGCCUGCAGCUUAACUGUAGAAUUGCAAUUGAUACUGCUUGUCUUGAGGAUAGUUGAGGUGGGCGGAAUAUGACAUGUAGCGUUGAAAUGCUUAGAUAUGUCAUAGAACACCGAUUGCGAAGGCAGCUCACUAAGCUAUAUCUGACGCUGAGGCGCGAAAGCGUGGGUAGCAAACAGG
rnacentral:rRNA from 1 species